rnacentral:rRNA from 1 species
UGGGGAAUAUUGGACAAUGGGCGCAAGCCUGAUCCAGCCAUGCCGCGUGUGUGAAGAAGGCCUUCGGGUUGUAAAGCACUUUUGUCCGGAAAGAAAUCCUUCGAAUUAAUACUUCGGAGGGAUGACGGUACCGGAAGAAUAAGCACCGGCUAACUUCGUGCCAGCAGCCGCGGUAAUACGAAGGGUGCAAGCGUUACUCGGAAUUACUGGGCGUAAAGCGUGCGUAGGUGGUUCGUUAAGUCUGAUGUGAAAGCCCUGGGCUCAACCUGGGAAUGGCAUUGGAUACUGGCGACCUAGAGUGCGGUAGAGGGGUGUGGAAUUCCCGGUGUAGCAGUGAAAUGCGUAGAUAUCGGGAGGAACAUCUGUGGCGAAGGCGACACCCUGGACCAGCACUGACACUGAGGCACGAAAGCGUGGGGAGCAAACA